GACGAACCGUGCGAACGUUGUUCGGAAUCACUGGGCUUAAAGGGCGCGUAGGCGGACUAUCAAGUCUGGGGUGAAAUCCCGCGGCUCAACCGUGGAACUGCCUCAGAUACUGACGGUCUCGAGGGAGGUAGGGGCAUGCGGAACUGUAGGUGGAGCGGUGAAAUGCGUUGAUAUCUACAGGAACUCCGGUGGCGAAAGCGGCGUGCUGGACCUCUUCUGACGCUGAGGCGCGAAAGCGUGGGGAGCAAACAGG
rnacentral:rRNA from 1 species